UUGAACGCUGGCGGCACUGCCUUACACAUGCAAGUCGAACGGCAGCACGGGAGCAAUCCUGGUGGCGAGUGGCGAACGGGUGAGUAAUAUAUCGGAACGUGCCCAGUCUGGGGGAUAACGUAGCGAAAGCUACGCUAAUACCGCAUACUAUCUAUGGAUGAAAGCGGGGGAUCGCAAGACCUCGCGCGAUUGGAGCGGCCGAUAUCAGAUUAGGUAGUUGGUGGGGUAAUGGCCUACCAAGCCUACGAUCCAUAGCUGGUUUGAGAGGAUGAUCAGCAACACUGGGACUGAGACACGGCCCAGACUCCUACGGGAGGCAGCAGUGGGGGAAUCUUAGACAAUGGGCGCAAGCCUGAUCUAGCCAUGCCGCGUGAGCGAUGAAGGCCUUAGGGUUGUAAAGCACUUUAAGUUGGGAGGAAGGGUUGUAGAUUAAUACUCUGCAAUUUUGACGUUACCGACAGAAUAAGCACCGGCUAACUCUGUG
rnacentral:rRNA from 1 species